AAGCUUUAUGCUUACUGGAAGGGAUGUGAGCUCUCAGCAUCCUGCUCUCGGUACCGCUCCUGCUGUCUGUCCCCACACUCUUUGCCAUGACGGACUCAUCCCCUCUGGAACGGUAAACCCAAACCAUCCUUUCUUCCUGUAAAUUACAUCGGUCAUGGUGUUUGACUGCAGGAACAGGAAGUAACUAAUACAGCUACCAUGAACCGCUUUCGGAGGAGGAUUUGAUGGGACCUAAAUCUGGAAAACCAACCUGGAAGAAAUAGACUAGCAAAUGUUCAGCAUCCAUGCCAUGAAGACUCUGAAGUCUUGGGAUUAUAAAGCUACAUAAAGCAACCGUCAUCCUAGAGGCCCACUACUGGUACUUUGCUAGGGUAUCCGGUAACUGCGGCAUCUCCUACGUGCAUCACGUUUCCUGGAAUCCCAUCUAGCCCCUGCAUGGCAGACAUCCCAUACUGGCAGGCUUCUGUGCAUAGGUGAAGAGGAACAAGCAACCUGCAGGCCUCUUAAUGGAAGAGCAGGCAGACACAUCUGUGAGACUACUAUGGAAUGGAUCCAACAAGAAACAAACCAGGAGGAUGGUAAGGUCACUCAGAGGUCAAAGAAAUUGCCACAUCUUUAGAAGACCUGAGUUUAGUUCCCAGUACCCACAGUGUGGCUCAUCUGUGACUCCAGUUCCAAGGGAUGUGACAGCUUCCUCUGACCUCCAAGGGCACCAGUCACACAUGUGGUGUGCAUACAUAUAUGCAGAUCCGCCUGGCCUAAAUGACAACUGAAUAUGCAACUCUGGAAAUUACUGUUUCUCCUAGGAAGCCACUGUCACUUAUUAAAUCGUCACAACAGAUUAAGAACGGUGAUGCCUGAAGGAUGGUUUGAACAGAACACAGCUCUGCAGUCCAGUAAGCUUCUCCCUACCGGAAGUCUCACAAGGUACUCACUUGAAUAUAGGUCACUCAUUUGAUGCAAUACAACGCUUGCUCUCUCAUUCUUUAGUGGAGUUCCAUACAUACUCAAUCAAUGCUUGCUGAGGGGAUAAUGUGACGAAUGAGAGACAUUCAAUAAAGUUCUAGGAUACUAGUAGUCUAUAAAUUUUACAGCAUGAAAAUCUGCUGUAUCUAAAAGUUAUGCAGAGACAAUAGAUUUGAUGAGUUUCGUUAUAUAAAAAAGUCUUUUGAACAGAGUCCAAUAUGAUAUCAGGUGAUAGUGAGGCUAAACGAACACCAAGAUGUGUAUUAGAUAUAGAUUCCUUUCCACCUUGUGGACUGAGUCCUAGCUGAGUCUUGUGGGUGCCUUGAGGUCAGAGUUCAUGCAUCAGAGAACUUGAUUAGUUUCAGAAAAGCAAGAUGGGCAGCAGGGACUCUGACUCUCAGGUAGCAUAGGUCCCAUGAAUAUUUUUUUUAAGUUAAAUAACUUUUUAAAUAAUUUUUAAAAAAGUUUCUAUGUAGUCAAAAUUAACUAUAAAUAUCUAUCAUCUAACUGGGCCAAAAGUGGUUUGCACUUAAAAAAAAAAAAAGAGUUAGCAAGCUAACUCUAAAUUUUUAAUUUUUCAUGUUUUAAAAGUUUAUACAUGGCUGCCAAAAAGUCUUCCAUUGAGUCUAUCAUCCUUACUGCUAAGAAGAAAUUGGGAUAAUUAUAAUAUACAUCGGGCAAAAAAAAAGUGCUCAGAUCCUUAGAAUGAUAAGCUUUCAUCGUUCUUCUGUAGCUACAGGUUCACUUUAUCUUUUAUCAUGGAUUUUAAGACCCGUAAGAGACAUACUGUUCCUUUCAGUGAAAAUGAUGGCCUCUCUCCAGAUUCCACGUCAAGCACACAGUUAAUCUCGGCGUCACUAUUCAUAUAUCUUCUGGGCAGGUGUCUAAGCAAGAACGGUUUGGAACUGCUUAAUUGGCACACACGGUAUCCUAACCUUCUCUUCUGGCUCAGGUCUAUGCAUCAAAGAAACGACUGAAGUGGACUUCAUCUUCUGUUUUAAUUGAUAUCUUCAAAAAAAAAAUGACAGCAGUGUUUAUUUGAUGUUGCACUAGACUAGUAAGUAGUUAUGACUCCUUGCCUGUAUCAUGUUGGCCUCAAAGAGACUCAAAUGCUUCACAGAGCCACUCAGUAGACUGCAGAAGAGCAGGGCAUUGGACCAGGGUCUAGAAUAAAACUUAGUAUAUUUCAGCAGCCAGGGAGAAAAGUUAGUUAGUUCAUUAUUUUCUAUCAGCUUUCAGACAAAUAAAACCAGAGAAGGUUAUCGU
rnacentral:lncRNA from 1 species